AGAAACUCACAAAGCAGGGGUGAGACCUCUGCUCGACAGCAAAGGCAGGCAGCGUCCCUCAUCCCUGCACCACGAGGGCGUCACAGCCCCUUCCCGGGUGGCCACAGCCACAGGGCACCCUGCGCCCUCUCCGGGCCUCGCCUUCCUCUUCUGAAACAGGACGGUGAUCUCAUCCCCCUCACAGGCUGAUGCAGAGACCUAAGGAGCACACUGGCUGUACACGGAGGAAAGCACCUCGGUUUCCUGAAGCAGUGUGGCAUUCGAGUCUGAUUUCCAGCAACUCCACUGCCCCCGCAGCCAGACUUUGCAUGAGCAGAGUUCGCAAACCUUCUAGAAUCUGGCGAGGAACAGAGGAAAUCAGCUAAAGGGCGUAACAGGAAGUGGGGCCUGGACCGGGAACCUGGUUCCUCCGCUCUUUCCCUAUAGGUACAGAAGGAACAGGCCCAGGAAUGAGUAAGAAUGUUUUUCUCUACAAAUAACUCACACCCAAGCCUCAAGCAGGGUUAGGGAGUGAGGCAUUGUGUCAUCACCUACCACAGGAAGCCCAGAGCCAGGGCAGACUCCAGACACGGCACGCAGGGUUGUGACUCUACACACCUGGCGCCUGGGGCACUGGUGUCUUCCAGGCAGCUCUGCCAGGUGUCACAUCUGGACAAGACAGAGAGGUACUAUCUUCCCCUUAGGAGUGAUGAACUCCUUUCCAGAAGCUUCCUGCAGGCUUCUCCUCAUGCCUCACGUCUAGAAUAGAGUGAUCUGCAUGUUCCAAGAACAGUCACUGGUUGGAGAGUUGGUAUCACCGUGACUGGGUGAGCCUGAUGGCUCUAAACUCUGGCUGUACAUCAGAAGCACACACUGAGCUUCUGAAAAGGAGAGGCCUGGGCCCCACUUCCAGAGAUUCAGUUCAAUGGAUCUCCUGUAGUACCUGAGCAUCAGAACUUCGUAGCCCCCGAAGGUGCAUGCUACGGCCAGAAAGAAACUCAGGGAAAAAUGGAUGUUGCAGAGACGUCGCCACAAAUGAAACCCACAGCGACAGGAGAAAGCGGCUCGCGUCCCGUUGAAGAAGAUGCUUCCCUGGAUUACUGUGCAGAGUUGAAGCUUUACCUUUCACCUGGAGAACGCGUGGUUCUGUGACCAAAACAGUGGCAGCUCCUCCACCAGCCCCUGCUGCUCCCAUCCCUUCCAGGGAAGAAACUUUUGUUUCUGUGAUGCCAGCGCAGGCAUUCAGAGCAAAGCCACUUCCAGGAAAUUCUAAGAAUGAGGUGCGGGCACCACUGGGCUGGCGCAUGAGAGUCAUGUGCCUCAGACUCCACGCCCCCUGCUGACCGUGCCCACAGGCUCCCAGGUUAUCUGUGGCGGAGGUCAGGGUCUGCUGGGCAGGGUCAGGGAUGUCUGGUUGGGCUGAAGCAGAUGCAGGGGUCCUGCGGUCACCACUGCCUCCGAUGAAGCUCUGAAUGGUCUUCUCUGUUCUUCCAUACGGUCAUGUGCCACACAACAACAUUUCCAACCACAGACAGCGUAUACUAUGGUUGUCCUGUAAGAGUAUAAGGGAGCUGAAAAAUUCCUAUCAUGUGAUGACAUUGUAGCCACCUCAACGUCUUAGCACAAUUAUAUAUAUAUACACACACACAUAUAUAUACUUUAUAUGUAGAGAGAGAGAGUGUGGCCUACGUGUGCAGUGUUUAUAAAGUCUGCAGUAGUCAUAGUGAUGUCCUAGGUCUUCACAUUCACUCCCGACUCACCCACUGACUCACAAGAGCAGCUGCCAGUCCUGCAAGCUCCACUCAUGAUACACACACGCCACUGUGUCAUAAUUGCCGACAGCACUCAGCGCAGUGACAUGCAGGUCUCAGCCUGGCACGACAGGCUGUCUCAUAUCGCCAGGUGUAAAGCAGCUCAUAGCACGCGGGUGUGUGGAAGUUCACUCUGCGAUGCUCACACAACAGCAAAUUGCCUGAGGACCCAUUUCUCAGAAGGUAUCCUUGUCCUUAAGCAACACAUGACUGACAUUUGUAAAAGGGGCAAGAGACAGCUUGUGCUUCUCAGAAAAGGUGCCCAUUUUCAACUGGUUUAGGAAAUUUAGAAAGAGGGAGGAGGAGUAUUAAAGUGGCUAAGAGUGUUUCUUUCCAGUUGGUUGAUUCUGCACCUCACACACCUAAGGAGUCUGGGAAACAUCCUGGGUAGCAGUGGUGGAGAGUGGUCGUAAUUUACAUUGAAAUGGGGAUCACCACUGCAUAUACAGAUGGCCUUGCUAGGUGCUGAGGAAGCUCUGAUGCCCCCGCGAGGAUCAAACAUGAGUCGUGGAGACAGGACAUGGUGACAUGUAGGAGAACACAGUUGAAUGCCAGAUUAGCCUUCGAGCUUCCUGAGAACUGAGACAACGAGGUCCCCUCCAUCUUUGAGUCAGCCUGGCCUCGGGGACAGAGGAUGGAUUUUGGAGUCGGACAAGCCCCGGCUGAGGCUCCCUUCAGUCAUGACCUUCCAAGACGAGAAGCUUCACGGCAGGCAAUGAACAGAGACGGCGUCAUCUCCAAGGCUCAGUGGAGCGAGUCACGUCACCCUCACUUAGCUGCAUGGCGCAUACCAUGAGUCUUGACCAUCACCCGUGGCUUCAUAAAAACUGACCUUUAUUCAGUGAGACCUUCCUGAGUGUCCGUGCUGCGUUUAACUCUUUGAAACAUAAUCUCAUUUAGUCCUCACAGCAUCACCCAGGAGGGAGAUACUAUCUUCAUUCCCGUUUUGCAGAGUCCCCCUCAGCACAGGUGAGCUGAGGACAAUGAGGAUGGCCAAGAGGCCGGUGCAUCUGAGGCACUUGCACGUGGGCUGCUCUGCCACUGAGGACUUCCAUGAGGACUCUGGAGGAAACCUGUUGAUUUGACUUAUUUUGCUAGAUGAUGUUGAAACAGGAGAGUUCCCUGAGACCCCUUGCAGGACAAGCAAAAGCGGUGUGGCUUGUCUGUUCAUGCGGCACCUGCUCAAAAGCCUUAUGGGAGGGGGAGCACGCAGAUGGGCUGGUGCAAGAGCUGGGGUGAACACCCCUGGGCUCCAGUCCCAUGGAAGCAUCCAGGAGUGUGUGCCUGAGGCUCCUGAAGCCCAAGUGGGCGUGUGUUACAGUGCACUCUUUUAGCUUUGCCAUCCACAGACGGCUUAAGUGUUAACCAGCUCAGUGCCCCCUUAAUACCCAGGUCCUUGUCCCAUGUCCAGGAAGAAUCAGGUCACACACGGACUUGAAGGAUGAAUGCAGGGAUUUUAUUGGGUGGUAGAGGCGGCUUUCACUGGGAUGGAUGGGGAGCUGGAAGGAGGAGGGAGUGGGAAGAUUAUCUUACCCUGGAAUUUGGCCAUCAUCGGCUGAUCUCCUCUCUUACUAUCCCCAGUCGAACACCCCUCGACAUUCAGAUGCCCCUUGUCUUCUUUCUGCUGAGCCAUUCUGCUGAUCUUCUGCUCUUCAGUUCAUCUCCUUGACUGCUAGUGGAACUUGUGGGUUGGGGUUUAUAUGGGUACAGGAUGGGGGCCAUGGUGGGCCAGAAGGCAACUUUUGGGCAUGAAAACGAGAAUGCUCAUUCUCGUGUAAGGCUGCAGGUUUCCAGGUUUGAGGCUGGGGCCUUUGCCAGGGAACCGCCCGCUUCUACCCAGUAUUUCCCUGUCUUCUGUCUAUAUCUGUUUAUGACAGUCUACUUGGUCAGAAUAAAGUGAAUCCAGAAGAAACA
rnacentral:lncRNA from 10 species